rnacentral:rRNA from 1 species
GAUGAACGCUGGCGGCGUGCCUAAUACAUGCAAGUCGAGCGAACGGACGAGAAGUUUGCCUCUCUGAUGUUAGCGGCGGACGGGUGAGUAACACGUGGAUAACCUACCUAUAAGACUGGGAUAACUUCGCGAAACCGGAGCUAAUACCGGAUAAUAUUUUGAACCGCAUGGUUCAAAAGUGAAAGACGGUCUUGCUGACACUUAUAGAUGGAUCCGCGCUGCAUUAGCUAGUUGGUAAGGUAACGGCUUACCAAGGCAACGAUGCAUAGCCGACCUGAGAGGGUGAUCGGCCACACUGGAACUGAGACACGGUCCAGACUCCUACGGGAGGCAGCAGUGGGGAAUCUUCGGCAAUGGACGAAAGCCUGACGGAGCAACGCCGCGUGAGUGAUGAAGGUCUUCGGAUCGUAAAACUCUGUUAUUAGGGAAGAACAUAUGUGUAAGUAACUGUGCCCAUCUUGACGGUACCUACUCAGAAAGCCCCGGCUAACUACGUG